CCAACGAUUAUCAUAUAACCAUUGAAGAUGCCCUUAGUCGUUUACAGGUUAAAAUUGCUUACGUGGCAAGGAUCAAUGCUGGGAUUGUUGACUGACAGAUAAAAUAGUGUACACGUAGGCAAGGGUGGUGGUUUUAAUUGGAGUGCCCUCGCUCAGUCGUUCGGGGCAGAAAGGGGGUCGAAAUCAGGGUUCGUCGCCAGGGGAUCGAGCAGGAGAAGUGAGGGUGGCGGCUGCGGCGGCGCUCGGCGACGACGGUGACGCUCGACGACGGCAGCGACGCUCGACGACGGCGGCGACGCUCGGUCGUAGCGUCGAGGAUGUCGUCUCCAUCCGGUGCGUCUUCGUCGUGCGGCGGAUGCGGAUGGUUGUCGCGGUCGACGGUGCCGUACAGGAAGAAGGCUCCGCGGUGGAUUUCAUGGAGUCCUCGCAGCCCAAGGAGACUAGAGGAUCUUGCUACGUUUGGUGGCAUGAUGAUGCUACAACGGAGUAUCUUCAUGAUCUGGUUGGUCAUAUGAGAGAUGCAGUGUGGAGGCUGCAGGGGCAAGUUACAACUCAAAUGAAGUAAAUGGAGCUUCAGUUUAGUUGCAUUAAGAAUACUCUUACAGGACUGAUUUUUAGCUUAAUGUAGCAGGUGUAAUUGCAGAAAAUUGCAAUGUAAUUGCAGAAGUUGUAUGCAGUACUGAUGUUGGUAGCACUUGUUUAGCUUAAUGUAUCAGAUGUAAUUGCAGAAAUUGCAAUAUAAUUGGAGAACUAGAAUUGCAGAAA